UUCUAACCAAUAAAGACUCACUUCUCUCUUUCUUAUAUACCUGUAGCUCCCAUUGACUAUGUGAUUAUAACAAUGCACUAGUCCUGGGGUAAUGGGCACAGGAGGAUCAUGUGAUGAGGGAGCAUGUGAUCUGCAGGGAGGUAUAAGGACAGC